AAAAGACGUUUAGAUGUAGAGCUUAGGGAUAUGGUUUAGUGGGGACUGUUAGUGUUAGGUCAGAGGUUGGACUCGAUGAUCUUGAGGUCUCUUCCAACCUAGAAAUUCUGUGAUUCUGUGAAAUUUGAUCCCAUGGGAAAGCAACCAUCAAAUGAGUGUAUGAACAUCCUGCCUUCCUGUCUCAUGCUGGGCCAACAUGACCAAGUAAAAAAAGAAGUUGAACCACAACGCCGAGGAAGACUAUGGCCUUCAUCUUCACGACACCAGAGGAGAGAGACGACCCCGUAGCAACAGUGCGUGCAGUCACAGAAUAUACCAGGAUGUGCUGUGUAAUCCUGGAAUUACCAAGAUAUAAAAAGGGACCCUGGCGGGGGUG